GUUCCAGACAAGCACACAGCUAACGUUUGUUAUGUUUUGCUGUUCCAGACAAGCAUACAGCUAACGUUUGUUAUGUUUUGCUGUUCCAGACAAGCAUACAGCUAACGUUUGUUAAUGUUUUGCUGUUCCAGACAAGCACAUGCACAACAUGAGCAGCAGCAGAAAGGAGCGCCCAAACCAGCCAACUAGCCGCACCGCUUCCAGGCCUGAAACAUCCCGACAGAAAACAGCUUUGCUCCAGGAAAGCUGCAACAGCGUACUUUUGCCUCUUCAUGCUGCAAGUGUGGAGUAUCCGUGUCGCACCAAGUAGACUUAAGAUGCUUAAAGACAUCAUACCUCUGUCAAUACUCCAUAAGAUUCUGUGUAUUAUAUAUAAUUGGGAAGCUAAUUUAUUUGUGGCUUAUGAUUUUGUAAGAGGUUGAGCACCAAAGCAACUUUUUGAGGAGGUGGUAAAAAAAAGUGAAAAUCUUAUUAUUGAUAUGUCUGUUGUUUUCAAUGAUUAGCACAAUGUGUUCUAUCAUUGGAAAGCUUGAAUGUAUAUUUCCAAUUAGAAUGAUACUGCAUUUAUUAUAAUCAAGGAUACAUAAUGUUGAUAACGUAAUAACAGAGGUAUGAUUGAUCAAAUUCAAUUUCUUAACUUUUGUGCUAAAAUUGGCCUAACAACACAGCCCUACAAGGUUGUACCAAAUAUGUCCUGUACAGCCACACAGCCCUACAAGGUUGUACCAAAUAUGUGCUGUACAGCCACACAGCCCUGCAAGUUUGUACCAAAUGUGUGCUGUACAGCCACACAGUCCUACAAGGUUGUACCAAAUGUGUCCUGUACAGCCACACAGCCCUACAAGGUUGUACCAAAUAUGUGCUGUACAGCCACACAGCCCUACAAGGUUGUACCAAAUGUGUCCUGUACAGCCACACAGCCCAACUCACACCGCUCAUCCAUUACUGAUUUAAACUCAAUCAUAGAGCUCAGACCUGUGGGAUCCAAACCCACACAGCUCAUUCAAUUCGUGUCUUAGUAGUUUUCCAAAGCAAGUGGAACAAUAAAAUAGCAGAAAAAGAGCAGCAGGUUGUAAGAGCAGGUCUUGUGUAGCCGUCUGCUGUUCUCUUGUGCAAAUCUCGUAUCGUGUGUCUCGGCAAUACAGCAGACCCAGAAUGCACCACUGAUUGACAGUACAGCAGACCCAGAAUGCAACACUGAUUGACAGUACGGCAGACCCAGAAUGCAACACUGAUUGACAGUACGGCAGACCCAGAAUGCACCAUUGAUUGACAGUACGGCAGACCCAGAAUGCACCACUGAUUUACAGUGCAGCAGACCCAGAAUGCACCACUGACUGUGCAGCAGACCCAGAAUGCACCACUGAUUGACAGUGCAGCAGACCCAGAAUGCACCACUGACUGUGCAGCAGACAAGCUUGUAAUGGAAACCUUUUCGUCAAGGACUAAUCAUCAUCACGCUAUGACAGAGCAUCAUGGGACUGCUGCAUAGCAUCAUGGGACUCCUGCUUAGCAUGACAGGACCGCUGCAAAGCAUGAUGGGACUCCUGCAAAGCAUGAUGGGACUGCUAGCUUUAGUUCUGCCCUAGUAUAGUGAUGGGAGAAUGCAUGUCAGAAGGAGAAAGGUAAUCUUACAUGCAUGUAACCGCUGUCUGUGGCAAUCUUGCAUGCAUGUAACCGCUGUCUGUGGCAAUCUUACAUGCAUGUAACCGCUGUCUGUGGCAAUCUUACAUGCAUGUAACCGCUGUCUGUGGCAAUCUUACAUGCAUGUAACCGCUGUCUGUGGCAAUCUUACAUGCAUGUAACCGCUGUCUGUGGCAAUCUUACAUGCAUGUAACCACUGUCUGUGAGCCACAAUCUUCACAUUUAGUCCAAAGGAAAAUUGUACAUGCAGACUGGGGCUGUGCGUGUUAAAUGUUUGCAGAUCCGGACAGUAUGAAGUGUUGUGAACUGUUUAAGGUAAAAUUAUUUUCACAUCAAGUUGAUGUGGCAUUUGUGCAGGGAGUGGAUGUGAUACAACAUGCUGGAUUUCAUGGGCUACUCUGCAAAUAAUAUUAAAUGUCUCGUAGAUUGACCUGUAUAUGAAAUGACAAUUGAUGCUGCCAAUGUAUGAUACUAGUAUUGAUGCAAACAUGUUAUAUUUGGGCCGUUAAAAUUAUGGGAGGUGGAAGAGUGUCAUAAUCUGUGGAGGGAAGCUAGGUUUAGUGUAAGGUGGCCAAAAUGUGACCAAUAUCCUGAUAUUGCCUGGCCUAUGGAGAAUUGGUGAAUUGUGGCAUCGCAGAAAUAUAAAAACACAUGUAUCAUUUUCAUGUCUUUGUUAUAAUCAUGAUUAAUGUUGAUGUUUUUGGUGUGUUGCCAUGGCAAUGCCCCAAUCUAGACUGCUAAUUGUCUGCAACCAAUCAGAGUCAAGCAUUGAUCGUGGCAACCAAUCAGAGUCAAGCACUGAUUGCGACUGUUCUCUGUACUUGACCAGUUCUAAUCACCAUCCCUGUUCUUGUAGUUUGUUUUGGUCAGGAAUUUUCUAGUUGUACAAGCCCAACAAUGUUCUGUAAUUUUAAUUCAGCAGUUUAGUUAGAAUUAACCGUUACACUCUUCCUUUUUAAAAUAAAGAUGUACUUUUAUUGAAA